rnacentral:rRNA from 1 species
UACAGAGGUCUCAAGCGUUGUUCGGAUUCAUUGGGCGUAAAGAGCGCGUAGGCGGUCCGAUAAGUCGGCUGUGAAAGUCCAGGGCUCAACCCUGGAAAGCCGGCCGAUACUGUCGGACUAGAGUCCGGAAGAGGCAAGUGGAAUUCCCGGUGUAGCGGUGAAAUGCGCAGAUAUCGGGAGGAACACCAAUGGCGAAGGCGACUACCUGGCCUGUUCUUGACGCUGAGGCGCGAAAGCUAGGGGAGCAAACGGG